GACGAACGCUGGCGGCGUGCCUAAUACAUGCAAGUCGAACGCACGAAGUUGAAGAGCUUGCCCUUUAACCAAGUGAGUGGCGGACGGGUGAGUAACACGUGGGUAACCUGCCCAUUAGAGGGGGAUAACAUUCGGAAACGGAUGCUAAUACCGCAUAGUUUCAGGGAUCGCAUGAUUCUUGAAGGAAAGGUGGCUUCGGCUACCACUAAUGGAUGGACCCGCGGCGUAUUAGCUAGUUGGUGAGGUAAUGGCUCACCAAGGCAAUGAUACGUAGCCGACCUGAGAGGGUGAUCGGCCACACUGGGACUGAGACACGGCCCAGACUCCUACGGGAGGCAGCAGUAGGGAAUCUUCCGCAAUGGACGAAAGUCUGACGGAGCAACGCCGCGUGAGUGAAGAAGGUUUUCGGAUCGUAAAACUCUGUUGUUAAAGAAGAACAAGGAUGAGAGUAACUGCUCAUCCCCUGACGGUAUUUAACCAGAAAGCCACGGCUAACUACGUGCCAGCAGCCGCGGUAAUACGUAGGUGGCAAGCGUUGUCCGGAUUUAUUGGGCGUAAAGCGAGCGCAGGCGGUUCUUUAAGUCUGAUGUGAAAGCCCCCGGCUCAACCGGGGAGGGUCAUUGGAAACUGGAGAACUUGAGUGCAGAAGAGGAGAGUGGAAUUCCACGUGUAGCGGUGAAAUGCGUAGAUAUGUGGAGGAACACCAGUGGCGAAGGCGGCUUUUUGGCCUGUAACUGACACUGAGGCGCGAAAGCGUGGGGAGCAAACAGG
rnacentral:rRNA from 1 species